AAAGACCUCUGGUUAUUGGUAAUUAGCUUGAGGAGAAUAAAAACAGCCGAUCGGGAGAGGGGUGGUGCAUUGUGGAGCGAGAUGGCUAACAGAAAGGUUCUAUCACUCCUUCAUGGAUUCUUCUACCUAGCUCUGAUUCAGCCCUCACUUCAAGGAGGUGUGUACGUGCCGGCUGGUGCUGGAGUUGGAGCAGGAGGUGCUGGACCAGGUGCUGGUCUCUACCCAGGUGCUGGUGGGAUACCCGCAGGAGCAGGCUACAAACCAGCUAAAACUGGAGCUGGAGGAUAUGGAGGAUGGGGUGGUGUUGGUGCUGGAGGUCUGGUCCCUGGUGGCGGGGCUGGAGGUCUGGUCCCUGGUGGCGGGGCUGGAGGCAUAGGAGCGUUAGGCCACAGAGGAGGAGGAGCUGGUGGAAAAGGCCUCAAACCUGGUUAUGGACACCUUGGUGCUGGUGGUGUUGGGGUUGGUGGUCUUGGUGGUGGAGGAUAUGGAGCUGGUCCUGGAGCAGGCAGUCUAGGAGUAGGAGCCCUUGGAGGAGGAUACGCUAAGCCUGGAGCUGGUUAUGGAGGAGGCUCGCCAUAUGGAGGCUCACCGUAUGGAGGAGGUGGUGCUGGGGGCUACUUCCCUGGAGGUGGGCUGGGACAGAAGGCAGGACCCAAGCCAGGCUAUGGGGCAGGAGGUGGACUACAACCAGGCUAUGGCGGACCAAUGCAGCCAGGAGUAUUCCAUGGAUACCCACUCAAAACACCCAAAACACAAGGUGGCUAUGGAGCAAAAGUUGGAGGAGCUGGAGGCAAACUUCCAUUUGGAUAUGGAGGCUUUGGUGGUGGUGGUGGAGCAGGCCUUCCUGGUGGAAAAGGUGGUCCUGGAUCCAAGCCUGGAUACCCCAUUGGAACUGGUGUUGGGACAGGAGGUCUUAACCCGGCCCAGGCUCAGGCUAAAGCUGCUAAAUAUGGUGCUGGUCCUGGUUUGGGUGGUGUGCCUGGUGCAGGUGGAGCUUACCCUGGAGCAGGAGGAGCUUACCCUGGAGCAGGAGGAGCUUACCCUGGAGGAGUCCCAGGAGGUGCGGGUGGGGUCCCAGGUCUUGGAUCAGUAGCAGGAGGAGCAGGAGGAGUACCUGGAUGGUUACCCGCAGGAGCUGGAGGAUAUAACCCUGCUGCGGCCAAAGCUGCUAAAUAUGGAGUUCCAGGGGGUGCAGGUGCAGGCCUAGGAGCUGGAGGAUUUGGUGGGGUACCAGGAGGAGGAGGAGGGGGUGUACCUGGGGCCGGAGGACUCCCAGGAGGAGGUGCAGGCAGGCUCCCAGGUGCUGGCUCAGUCGCAGGAGGAGCAGGAGGAGUACCUGGGGCUGGAGGAUAUAAUCCUGCUGCGGCCAAAGCCGCUAAAUAUGGAGUUCCAGGAGGAGCAGGUGCAGGGUUAGGAGGAGCUGGAGGCUAUGGAGCGGGAGCCAGGCCUCCCUAUUACGGUGUUCCAGGGGGUGCUGGAUUUGGGGGAGCAGGAGCUUUUCCAGGGUCUGGAGGAUUCAACCCUGCCGCCGCCGCCAAAGCUGCUAAAUAUGGGGUCCCAGGAGGUACAGGGGCAGGCCUAGGAGCUGGAGGUCUUGGAGGAACAGGAGGGGUACCAGCAGGAGGAGCUGGGGCUGGAGGUGUCCCCGGAGGUGCAGGAGCAGGCCUAGGAGCAGGAGGAGUACCAGGAGGAGGAGCAGGGGGGGUACCUGGGGCUGGAGGAUAUAAUCCUGCUGCAGCCAAAGCAGCUAAAUAUGGAGUUCCAGGAGGUACAGGAGCAAGCCUAGGAGCUGGAGGACUUGGAGGAGGAUAUGGAGGAGCAGGAGGGGCUGGGGCUGGAGGAUAUAACCCUGCUGCGGCCAAAGCUGCUAAAUAUGGAGUUCCCGGAGGUGCAGGAGCAGGCCUAGGAGCUGGGGGAGCAGGAGGAGUACCAGGAGGAGGAGCAGGGGGUGUACCUGGGGCUGGAGGAUAUUAUCCCGCUGCGGCCAAAGCUGCUAAAUAUGGAGUUCCAGGAGGCCUAGGAACAGGCUUAGGAGGAGGAGGACUUGGAGGAGUACAGGGAGGAGUACCUGGAGGAGGAGCAGGGGGUGUACCUGGGGCUGGAGGAUAUAAUCCUGCUGCAGCCAAAGCUGCUAAAUAUGGUCAGGGGGCUGCUGGUGGGCCAGGGGGUGGAUAUGGUGGCGUGCCUGCUGGAGGAUAUCCCAGGCCUGGGGGCUAUGGGGGGUAUGGAGGGGCAGGAGCUGGAGGGUAUAAUCCUGCUGUGGCCAAAGCUGCUAAAUAUGUCCCAGGAGCUGGAGGAGCAGGCCUAGGAGCUGGAGGAGCAGGCCUAGGAGGAGCAGGAGGAGUACCAGGGCCUGGGGCUGGACCAGGAUAUGGAGGCUAUGGAGGAUAUGGAGGGGUACCAGCAGGAGGGGCUGCUGCUGCGGCCAAAGCUGCUAAAUAUGGAGUACCAGGAGGUGCAGGAGCAGGCCUUGGAGCUGGAGGACUUGGAGGAGCAGGAGGAGUACCAGGGGCUGGAGGAUAUAACCCUGCAGUGGCCAAAGCGGCUAAAUAUGGAGUCCCCGGAGGUGCAGGAGCAGGCAUAAGAGCUGGAGGAACAGGAGGAUUACCAGGAGGAGGAGCAGGGGGUGUACCUGGGGCUGGAGGAUAUAAUCCCGCUGCAGCCAAAGCUGCUAAAUAUGGAGUCCCAGGAGGUGUAGGAACAGGCCUAGGAGCAGGAGGACUUGGAGGAGGAGGACAGGGAGGAGUACCUGGACAAGUAGGAGCUGGAGGAUAUGAUCCCGCAGCCAAAGCUGCUAAAUAUGGUAUGCCAAGUGGGGCGGGCAUCGGUGGAGAAGGUGUGCCAGCACCUAUAGCGACUCCAAGACCAGGUGUGGGCGUGGGUGGUGGUGUUGGAGGAACUGCCAUUGAGCGCACUGACGUACCAGUGGGCACAGGGAUACCUAUCGCAGGCAAACCAGCAGAGGAUUCAUCUCUAGAACCCAGUGGAACUCCCAUCCCAGAUCCCACACCUAUUGGCACAGAGGCCCCAGAGCCAGAGCCCAGUGCCACAGGAGUAACUGGAGUUGGGGCUGGGGUUCUUCAACCUAGUGUUGGUACAGGCCCAGCUCAGCCUGGUGUGGGUGUCGGAGCAGGUGGCAAAGCUCCUAAACCCCCUGGUGCAGGGGGAUACCCGUAUGGUGGUUAUGGACAGGGUGCUGGUGGAUAUCCCUAUGGAGGAGGACAUGGAAAUCCAUACGGAGCAGGAGCUGGACAACUUCCUGGAGCCAAGCCCCUGAAACCUCCAGUUGUGGGAGGAGCAGGUGGUGUGGCUGGAGGAGCAGGUAUCCCUCUUACUGGAGCAGGUGGUGGUGCAGGGGGAUACCCGUAUGGUUAUGGUCAAGGUGGUUAUGGACAGGGACAGGGUGUGAGGUAUCCCACUGGUGUUGGUCUGGGGGCAGGAGCAGGUCAAAAAGCACCCAAACCCCCAGGUUAUGGUAACCUAGGUGCUGGUGGUGCUGGUUAUAAUCCAGGUGCUGGUGCGGUCCCAGGUUACGGCGGUGGCUACCCACAACAACAGGGUUACCCACAGCAAGGUGGCAGCUACCCACAACAACCCUACCCAGGAGCAUAUGGAGCAGGCCAGACGGCACCACUGACUCCUCAACAAGCCAAAGCAGCCAAGUAUGGCCCACUCCAGGGCUUCCUUGGUGGAGCAGGAGGAGGAGGCUACAGACCAGGAGGAGUUGCUGCUGGAUGCCAAAGCAAAUACUGUGGAAGGCAGAAGUAGAGGAUGUUCUUCAGAAGAAGUUGAACCUCAAGAAACAAUGGUGCUACUGCAUGAUCUAGAAUGUACAUUUUAUAUGCACAAAAUCCCCCAUUACAGUAUGUAAAGAUAUGUUGUACUUUAUUUGACUCAAUAUAUUUUUUAUACAAACCCACCGACCCAGACUUUUGCACAC
rnacentral:lncRNA from 1 species